rnacentral:rRNA from 1 species
GCAUAUCAAUAAGCGGAAGAAAAGAAACCCACAGGGAUUGCCUCAGUAACGGCGAGUGAAGCGGCAACAGCUCAAAUUUGAAAUCUGGCCGCAAGGUCCGAGUUGUAAUUUGUAGAGGAUGCUUUUGGCGAGGUGACUUCCGAGUUCCCUGGAACGGGACGCCAUAGAGGGUGAGAGCCCCGUACGGUCGUGCCACCGAGCCUCUGUAAAGCUCCUUCGACGAGUCGAGUAGUUUGGGAAUGCUGCUCUAAAUGGGAGGUGUACGUCUUCUAAAGCUAAAUACCGGCCAGAGACCGAUAGCGCACAAGUAGAGUGAUCGAAAGAUGAAAAGCACUUUGAAAAGAGGGUUAAAAAGUACGUGAAAUUGUUGAAAGGGAAGCAUUCAUGACCAGACUUGGGCUUGGUUGAACAUCCGGCGUUCUCGCCGGUGCACUCUGCCAGCUCAGGCCAGCAUCAGUUUGCCCCGGGGGACAAAGGCGGCGGGAAUGUGGCUCCCUACGGGGAGUGUUAUAGCCCGUCGUGUAAUGCCCUGGGGUGGACUGAGGUUCGCGCUUCGGCACGGAUGCUGGCGUAAUGGUCAUCAAUGACCCGUCUUGAAACACGGACCAAGGAGUCGUCUUCGUAUGCGAGUGUUCGGGUGUCAAACCCCUACGCGUAAUGAAAGUGAACGUAGGUGAGAGCUUCGGCGCAUCACCGACCGAUCCUGAUGUUCUCGGAUGGAUUUGAGUAAGAGCAUACGGGGCCGGACCCGAAAGAAGGUGAACUAUGCCUGUAUAGGGUGAAGCCAGAGGAAACUCUGGUGGAGGCUCGCAGCGGUUCUGACGUGCAAAUCGAUCGUCAAAUAUGGGCAUGGGGGCGAAAGACUAAUCGAACCUUCUAGUAGCUGGUUUCCGCCGAA